AAAUGUCAGGCUUCUGAACCUAAUUUGAAUUUGCAUAAAUUUAGAAAUUGAAAUAUUAACACUUCGACCUUCAAAUAUCUUGAUUAUAUUUAUUUUCCUACAUAAUCUUGCUUUUAUUACUUGUACGUAUGUUUUCGAUAUAUACCAAGCAAAUUACUUUUAUAAAUGUGGAAAGCUUUCUAGAAGGAUUUAUCCUAAAAGUCUCAAAUAAUGCUAUAAAAAAUAUGAAUGACAGAUACCAUAAAUAAAUCGCAGUGACGUGCAAAAUACCAUUGAAAGUAUAAUAAAAAUGAUACAUGGCGAAAAAGCGUGGCAGACAAUAAAACCAAUCAAACAAUAAACGUCGGAAAUUAAUUGACAUUCAAAAAAUGGAAUGAAAAAGAAUGCGAGAGGGAAAAUAAAAGAAGAAUAUUUUUGUUUGUAAUAAAUUGCUAUAAUGAUAAAUGCAAUCAAUUUUACGGAACUGAGUAACAGUGCUUUUUUAAUUGAAUGUAUAAGUUGAGAGAAUCUGGAAUAGAGAGACGCAAUGUUCGCUAAGAGAUUGAAAGCUCUGUCUUUUGUGGAGGAAGGAGGGGAUUCGAGCCUGCAGCGCCCCUCGUAUAAAGAGCUACAAGGUGGGCUAGAUGACUAAGUAACAAUUACAACAAGCGUCGUUUUGGGCUUUUUGUUGAAUGCUAAAUACGUAAUGUGAUAAACGUCCUUUUUAAUCAAA